GUUCCAUCUUUGAUCCGCUUGGCUUUGUCGCUCCAGUGAUACUGCCCGCCAAGAAGAUCCUUCAAGAAUUAUGCAGGCAGAAGUUUGGCUGGGACGAAGAUCUGCCAGACGAAGUCAUCAAGAGCUGUAAAAGAUGGAUCUCAAGUUUGCAACAGCUCGAGAAUUUUGGAGUUGACAGAUGCAUUAAAACUAAGCAGCUUGGUCCACCAGUCUUCGCACAACUGCAUCACUUCGCGGACGCGAGUGAGGAUGCUUAUGGAACAACAAGCUAUCUGCUACUUCGUACUGCAUCUGGAGAAGCUCAAUCCACCCUGAUGAUGGCAAAGGCCAGGGUUGCACCUUUAAAGUCUCCAACCAUACCAAGAAUGGAACUAACUGCAGCUACAGUUGCAGUCAAGAUGGACAAGAUUCUGAAAAAAGAGCUUGAACUGGAACUUCAUGAAUCAAUCUUUUGGACAGAUAGCACGGCUGUGCUUAAAUACUUGAACAGCGAGCGUACAAGAUUCAAGACCUUCGUUGCAAAUAGAAUAUCAGAAAUCCUGCAGCACUCACAGACUUCACAGUGGAGAUACGUCAAUACCACUCUGAAUCCCGCUGACCAUGUCUCAAGAGGACAGACUGCUGAAGCAUUUUUGAAGUUGGGAUGCUGGCUUUCAGGACCAGAUUUCUUGCUCCAUACAGAAGAUCAGUGGCCAAAUAAUCCAGAUCCUGGAAUGGUUGAUAUCGACGACUCUGAGGUCAAAAGAGUAGCUCAAAUGCACGUCAUUCAGGUGCAAGACUCAACAGAUCCAGUGGACCAGUUGAUGAGCCACUUCUCAUCCUGGACAAAGCUCAAACGUGCUGUUGCCUGGCUUCUGAAGCUGAAAGGGUUGCUUAAAGAGCUGAAAGCAAAGAGAAAGGAACCUAACGCAUUAUGUGGAGAAAGCAAAGUGGAGCAGUUCAAGAAGGCUUACAAAGGAACAAACCUUACAUGUGACAAUUUGUUAGAAGCUGAAACAGAAAUCCUUAAGUACUGUCAGAAGCAAAGAUUUGAGGACGACUUGACAAUGCUGAAGGAACAUCACAGAGUGAAGAAAGGUAGCUCACUUUAUAAGCUGAAUCCAGUUCUUCAAGAAGGAGUCAUGAGGGUUGGAGGAAGGUUGAGCAGAGCGGCGAUGCCAGAUCAUUCUAAACAGCCAGCCAUCCUGCCAAAGCAUUCACACAUCACAAGGCUUGUGUUGAGACACAUUCAUGACAUUACAGCUCACGCCGGAAGGAACCACAUGUUGGCCCAACUACGUCAACGGUUCUGGAUACCUGGAGCUAAUGGAGCCAUCAGAACUUUCCUGUCCAAGUGCGUAAUCUGUAAGAAGUUUCAUGGAUCAGCUGGAAAACAACUCAUGGCAGAUCUACCAACAUGCAGAGUUCUGCCUGAUGAGCCUCCAUUCACACGAGUUGGCGUUGAUUAUUUCGGCCCGUUCCUGGUGAAGAGAGGUAGGGUGCAAGUAAAGAAGUACGGUGUCAUCUUUACCUGUCUCGCCAUACGAGCUGUGCAUCUAGAAGUUGCCACUUCUCUUGACACUGAUGCAUGCCUCAACGCAAUUAGGAGGUUCAUUGCCAGAAGAGGACAAGUCAGAGAGAUGUACUCGGAUAACGGAACCAACUUUCAGUCGGCUGACAGUGAGUUGAAGAAAUCAAUCAAAGAAUGGAAUACCAG
rnacentral:lncRNA from 1 species